AGUGAAUGCUGGCGGUAGGCCUAACACAUGCAAGUCGAACGGCAGCACAGUAAGAGCUUGCUCUUACGGGUGGCGAGUGGCGGACGGGUGAGGAAUACAUCGGAAUCUACUUUUUCGUGGGGGAUAACGUAGGGAAACUUACGCUAAUACCGCAUACGACCUACGGGUGAAAGCAGGGGAUCUUCGGACCUUGCGCGAUUGAAUGAGCCGAUGUCGGAUUAGCUAGUUGGCGGGGUAAAGGCCCACUAAGGCGACGAUCCGUAGCUGGUCUGAGAGGAUGAUCAGCCACACUGGAACUGAGACACGGUCCAGACUCCUACGGGAGGCAGCAGUGGGGAAUAUUGGACAAUGGGCGCAAGCCUGAUCCAGCCAUACCGCGUGGGUGAAGAAGGCCUUCGGGUUGUAAAGCCCUUUUGUUGGGAAAGAAAAGCAGCAGGUUAAUACCCCGCUGUUCUGACGGUACCCAAAGAAUAAGCACCGGCUAACUUCGUG
rnacentral:rRNA from 1 species